rnacentral:misc_RNA from 1 species
UUUCCGUAGGUGAACCUGCGGAAGGAUCAUUAGUGAAUUGAAUAUGUUAGCGGACCUCUUCGGAAUCCCUAGCAUCAAAUCAUAUCCACAACACCUGUGAACUGUAAGGCUGUCGUGAAAACGAAAGUGAUUAGAGCGCCUGCCCAUUUUAUACAAACAUUAAAGUAACAAACGGAGUCUUAUUAGAAACUAAUAAAACUUUCAACAACGGAUCUCUUGGCUCUC